AUAUUCGAUACAUGCAGACAACCCACAUUUAUCAAGUUAAAAAAUUCAGUGUUAGCGAUUGAACACCAUUGUAAACAAAAUGAAUGCGUAUGUGUUUAACACGGGAUAUUUGUUAAUAUUUUGGAUUCUCUAUCAAACAGUAACGACUCAGACCCCAAAUCUAGUGGCAGACAAUGUGAUGGUUGCUGAAAACAGUUCAGUGACUCUAACGUGUAUCCUUCCAAGAGCAGUCCCAACAGCUUGGCUAAGAAAUGGAUUUGGCAGUACUCUAUGGACAGGGGUUUGGAAGGCAAGUGUACGUCUGAUCCAUCGCCAUUACCUGAAGGAUUCGACUACGCAUGCGUCAAUGCUACUCUGACAACUCUGACUAUCUUGCGCGUAAACCGGUCGCUGGAUGGAGACAGGUGGCAGUGUAGCGUUAACACUAAUGCCGGGGUUUCGACAUUCAGCAACAAUAUCACCACCAAUGUUCACGGAACUUUCUACGACAUUUGCAUUGUCACAAUUUCUGUGCAAAAUAUUAUGCAUAAUGCACACCAGUUAACCUUUGCGCUUAUCUCAUCACACUUAGUCUGACAAUCAGUUUAUUAUAACUUCAAUGACAUUGUUUGGAAAGCAUGUGUUAACUGACUGAAGUGUCAACUUAUCGAGAAAGGUGUGAUGCACUGGCAAUAUCUUAAAGGUCAAUACUUAUACUGAUAACAAAUUAAAGGUAACAAUUAACAUACUUUAACGUUUCUUAUUUCUCAGUUAUUUUUAAAGACAAAGGGCAUAAGUGAUUAUAACGGUUACACGAUUACUUUUUUUCAUACAUCUACGCAUAAAUACAAGUUAUGUUAGGUUCUCUUUCAAGACAGUUACUGAAAUGAAAAACUACGAUGAAAUGCAGACACUUGAAAUUAAAUUAUUAAUGUGCUCAAAUCUGUUGAUGUUUCUUCGAGCAACAUAUCGCACACGUUUUCGCCAAACCUUGAUGCAAUUUUACAAGUGACAAAUGUACGUUACUGAUGUUAUUUUAUCAAGAAAAGAUAAUGCCAUCAUUGCGUUAAAAGUGAAUACAAUAUAUGGUUUGUGUAUAAUUAUUUAUGAAUACAUUCACCAUUUCUAUUUUACUUUAUAAAAGCUGGAAGAUGA